rnacentral:rRNA from 1 species
CCUACGGGAGGCAGCAGUCGAGAAUCUUUCACAAUGGGGGAAACCCUGAUGGUGCGACGCCGCGUGGGGGAAUGAAGGUCUUCGGAUUGUAAACCCCUGUCAUGUGGGAGCAAAUUAAAAAGAUAGUACCACAAGAGGAAGAGACGCUUAAUUCUGUGCCACCAUCCGCGGUAAUACAGAGGUCUCAAGCUUUGUUCGGAUUCACUGGGGGUAAAGCGUGCGUAGGGUGUUUUGGAAGUCGUGGGUGAAAGGCGCGGGCUCAACCCGCGGAGGGCACAGGAUACUGGGAGACUAGAGUAAUGGAGGGGGAACCGGAAGUCGUGGUGUAGCAGUGAAAUGCGUAGAUAUCGAGAGGAACACUCGUGGCGAAGGCGGGUUCCUGGGCAUUAACUGACGCUGAGGCACGAAGGCCAGGGGAGCGAAAGGGAUUAGAUACCCCUGUAGUC